rnacentral:rRNA from 1 species
GAUGAACGCUGGCGGCGUGCCUAAUACAUGCAAGUCGAGCGAAAAGACGGUGAGCUUGCUCCUUUGCCGGUAGCGGCGGACGGGCGAGUAACACGUGGAUCACCUACUUAUAAUUCUGGGAGAACUUCGGGAGACCGGAGCUAAUACUGGAUAACAUGUCGAACCGCAUGGAUCAACAGUGAUAGACGGCCUUGCUGUCUCUAAUAGAUGGAUCCGCGCCGGAUUAGCUAGUUGGUAAGGUAACGGCUUACCAAGGAGACGAUGCGUAGCCGACCUGAGAGGGUGAUCGGCCACACUGGAACUGAGACACGGUCCAGACUCCUACGGGAGGCAGCAGUAGGGAAUCUUGCGCAAUGGGCGAAAGCCUGACGCAGCAAUGCCGCGUGAGUGAAGAAGGUCUUCGGAUCGUAAAGCCCUUUUGUUGGGGAAGAACAGAUGUAGAAUAAACCCUGGACGUCCUGACGGUACCUAAUGAAAAAGCACCGGCUAACUACGUG